CCCUUAGAUGUUCUGGGCCGCACGCGCGCUACACUGACAGGGCCAGCGAGUACAUCACCUUAACCGAGAGGUUUGGGUAAUCUUGUUAAACCCUGUCGUGCUGGGGAUAGAGCAUUGCAAUUAUUGCUCUUCAACGAGGAAUGCCUAGUAGGCACGAGUCAUCAGCUCGUGCCGAUUACGUCCCUGCCCUUUGUACACACCGCCCGUCGCUACUACCGAUUGAAUGGCUCAGUGAGGCCUUGGGAUUGGCUUAGGAGGGUUGGCAACGACCCCCCAGAGCCGAAAACUUGGUCAAACUCGGUCAUUUAGAGGAAGUAAAAGUCGCAACA
rnacentral:rRNA from 1 species